rnacentral:rRNA from 1 species
GGAAUCUUCGGCAAUGGACGAAAGUCUGACCGAGCAACACCGCGUGAGUGAAGAAGGGUUUCGGAUCGUAAAACUCUGUUGGUAGAGAAGAACGUUGGUGAGAGUGGAAAGCUCAUCAAGUGACGGUAACUACCCAGAAAGGGACGGCUAACUACGUGCCAG